UACGGAGGGUGCAAGCGUUGUCCGGAUUUAUUGGGUUUAAAGGGUGCGUAGGCGGCCUUUUAAGUCGGCGGUGAAAGCCCGGGGCUCAACCCCGGAACUGCCGUUGAUACUGGGAGGCUUGAGUACAGACGAGGUAGGCGGAAUUGAGGGUGUAGCGGUGAAAUGCUUAGAUACCCUCAAGAACACCGAUUGCGUAGGCAGCUUACUAGGCUGUAACUGACGCUGAGGCACGAAAGCGUGGGGAGCGAACAGG
rnacentral:rRNA from 1 species